UACGGGGGGGGCAAGCGUUGUUCGGAAUUACUGGGCGUAAAGGGCUCGUAGGUGGCCAACUAAGUCAGACGUGAAAUCCCUCAGCUUAACUGGGGAACUGCGUCUGAUACUGGAUGGCUUGAGUUUGGGAGAGGGAUGCGGAAUUCCAGGUGUAGCGGUGAAAUGCGUAGAUAUCUGGAGGAACACCGGUGGCGAAGGCGGCAUCCUGGACCAACAAUGACACUGAUGAGCGAAAGCCAGGGGAGCAAACGGG
rnacentral:rRNA from 1 species